CCUACGGGAGGCAGCAGUGAGGAAUAUUGGUCAAUGGGCGGAAGCCUGAACCAGCCAAGUCGCGUGAGGGAUUAAGGCCCUGCGGGUCGUAAACCUCUUUUGCCGGGGAGCAGAGGUCCGGACGUGUCCGGGCCGGGAGAGUACCCGGAGAAAAAGCAUCGGCUAACUCCGUGCCAGCAGCCGCGGUAAUACGGGGGAGGCGAGCGUUAUCCGGAUUUAUUGGGUUUAAAGGGUGCGUAGGCGGGCAUUUAAGCCGGCGGUCAAAUGUCGGGGCUCAACCCCGGCCUGCCGUCGGAACUGGGUGCCUUGAGUGGGCGAGAAGUAUGUGGAAUGCGUGGUGUAGCGGUGAAAUGCAUAGAUAUCACGCAGAACCCCGAUUGCGAAGGCAGCAUACCGGCGCCCUACUGACGCUGAGGCACGAAAGUGCGGGUAUCGAACAGGAUUAGAUACCUUGGUAGUC
rnacentral:rRNA from 1 species